AAUGUCUUCAUUUAGUAACUUUGUAAGGCUCUCGUAAGUAAGGCUGUGUACUUUGUUGUGCUCCAUUCUGUUCCUGCCAGCAUAGAACUAAAUACAAUGCAUUCUUGCUACACACAGCUUUAUAGAAAGGUAUUUAUGAAUUAAGUUUUAGAAGGGGUGAAUGCAGGUUGCACUUGAAUUCCUUUAAGCAAUCUGAAUACUUUGAUGGUUAUUAAUCAGAACAUGGCAUAUUUUUUCAAGUAUAAUCCUGAAUACAGAUAGAACUCUAUUUCUAAAGAAAAGUACAGCACGCUUAGUUACAACAGUUGGUCCGGUGGAGAGAGAACCGAGCACUGAGUCAAGAACUAACUAGCUGCUUAUCUAAAACACAGCAUCACUCAGGUGAGACCGGGACAAACAUUGUUAAAGCUUAUUAGUUCAAAAAUUCUGAUUCCAAGUAAAUGGUGUUAGGGAAACAUCAAGUCACCUUCGGGAGGAGUUUCUGGCCAAAGCUAUUCAUAAGUAAACAGCUCCCAUUCAUUUCAAAGAUUUGGAAGUCUACCAACCAUUUCUUCCACCAAAGCCCUUUGCAGGCGUAAAGGCGGCCUUCGGGAGACACCAUGUUCUCCAUGAGGAGAAAAGAGUAAAGCAAGCUGUACUGCAGAAAGGUGACCUUAAAAGAAAAUGAGAACUGAAAGAUAAAAGCAAGCUAUCAUUUUGAUGUCCCACACGUAAGAAUCAUCUUUAAUCAACAUAAAACUGUUAACGAGGCAACUACAUGGUAGACAUCAUUUGUAAAGAUGCAUAAACCAGUCUCUAGCCAGGCAAUAUAAACAGCAGUAGUACUGGUAAGGAAAGGAGGGGGUAAAAAUUGUCACCCAGUGACUUAAGAAUAGCAAACUCAGCAGUCCUGUGCUAAUCCCUAGAUGAGGACAAGUACCUCUCAGGAAGACAGAAGUAGCC
rnacentral:lncRNA from 1 species